rnacentral:rRNA from 1 species
AGUAGCGUGAAGGNNGACUGCCCUAUGGGUUGUAAACUUCUUUUANAAAGGAAUAAAGUCGGGUAUGCAUACCCGUUUGCAUGUACUUUAUGAAUAAGGAUCGGCUAACUCCGUGCCAGCAGCCGCGGUAAUACGGAGGAUCCGAGCGUUAUCCGGAUUUAUUGGGUUUAAAGGGAGCGUAGAUGGAUGUUUAAGUCAGUUGUGAAAGUUUGCGGCUCAACCGUAAAAUUGCAGUUGAUACUGGAUGUCUUGAGUGCAGUUGAGGCAGGCGGAAUUCGUGGUGUAGCGGUGAAAUGCUUAGAUAUCACGAAGAACUCCGAUUGCGAAGGCAGCCUGCUAAGCUGCAACUGACAUUGAGGCUCGAAAGUGUGGGUAUCAAACAGGAUUAGAUACCCUGGUAGUCCACACGGUAAACGAUGAAUACUCGCUGUUUGCGAUAUACGGCAAGCGGCCAAGCGAAAGCGUUAAGUAUUCCACCUGGGGAGUACGCCGGCAACGGUGAAACUCAAAGGAAUUGACGGGGGCCCGCACAAGCGGAGGAACAUGUGGUUUAAUUCGAUGAUACGCGAGGAACCUUACCCGGGCUUAAAUUGCACUCGAAUGAUCCGGAAACGGUUCAGCUAGCAAUAGCGAGUGUGAAGGUGCUGCAUGGUUGUCGUCAGCUCGUGCCGUGAGGUGUCGGCUUAAGUGCCAUAACGAGCGCAACCCUUGUUGUCAGUUACUAACAGGUGAUGCUGAGGACUCUGACAAGACUGCCAUCGUAAGAUGUGAGGAAGGUGGGGAUGACGUCAAAUCAGCACGGCCCUUACGUCCGGGGCUACACACGUGUUACAAUGGGGGGUACAGAGGGCCGCUACCACGCGAGUGGAUGCCAAUCCCUAAAACCCCUCUCAGUUCGGACUGGAGUCUGCAACCCGACUCCACGAAGCUGGAUUCGCUAGUAAUCGCGCAUCAGCCACGGCGCGGUGAAUACGUUCCCGGGCCUUGUACACACCGCCCGUCAAGCCAUGGGAGCCGGGGGUACCUGAAGUGCGUAACCGCGAGGAUCGCCCUAGGGUAAAACUGGUGACUGGGGCUAAGUCUAACCAAGGUAA